rnacentral:rRNA from 1 species
CGUACACUCCUGCGGGAGGCAGCAGUGGGGAAUAUUGGACAAUGGGCGCAAGCCUGAUCCAGCCAUGCCGCGUGAGUGAUGAAGGCCCUAGGGUUGUAAAGCUCUUUCACCGGUGAAGAUAAUGACGGUAACCGGAGAAGAAGCCCCGGCUAACUUCGUGCCAGCAGCCGCGGUAAUACGAAGGGGGCUAGCGUUGUUCGGAUUUACUGGGCGUAAAGCGCACGUAGGCGGACUAUUAAGUCAGGGGUGAAAUCCCGGGGCUCAACCCCGGAACUGCCUUUGAUACUGGUAGUCUUGAGUUCGAGAGAGGUGAGUGGAAUUCCGAGUGUAGAGGUGAAAUUCGUAGAUAUUCGGAGGAACACCAGUGGCGAAGGCGGCUCACUGGCUCGAUACUGACGCUGAGGUGCGAAAGCGUGGGGAGCAAACAGGAUUAGAUACCCCGGUAGUCCC